rnacentral:lncRNA from 1 species
GCAUUAGAACCUUUGUUAUAAACCAAGUAACUACUUGUAUGUUUGUCUUUUUCUGCAUUUUUUAUUUUGUUCAAUCUGUCGAUUUAUCUGUCUUUGCACUAAUUUCACACUUUCUUGAUUGCUGUGUCUUACAUAUAUGUAAUGAAGUGACUGAGAAAGUAGCAAAUACAGACUACCCAAAUACCACAAGUGAUCCUGUCCAGGAGAUAUGAUUUUCCAAAAUACUGAACAGAACUUUGGAAAGUGUUGAUCAUGUGUUUACUUCCAAAUCCACGUCAGAUGGAAAUCUGGCAUUGCAAAUGUGACUUUGGGGAUUUCCAACCCAAACAAAGUCACCAUCUACUUUGCCCAGCCAGAGUCAAUCCUGAGCCAUCUUGGAUUGGGAUCUAUGUUUUGCUACACAUCUAUCAUGAUAAAUCAUUAAAACAAAGCCUUGUAAAUAUUUGCCUUUUAAAGUAAAAGAAUUCUACACUGUAAACCAAUUGAACACAUUUCUCUUGUUAUAACCAGGCCAUUCAAUUAAAACAAAAUGGCUCACUCGGAGUGACUUCCUGGCAUUUAGAUAUUUAGCAUUCUG